rnacentral:rRNA from 1 species
AUUGAACGCUGGCGGCAUGCCUUACACAUGCAAGUCGAACGGUAACGGGCCUUCGGGUGCCGACGAGUGGCGAACGGGUGAGUAAUGUAUCGGAACGUACCUUUCAGUGGGGGAUAACGUAGCGAAAGUUACGCUAAUACCGCAUAUUCUGUGAGCAGGAAAGCAGGGGAUCGCAAGACCUUGCGCUGAUUGAGCGGCCGAUAUCAGAUUAGCUAGUUGGUGAGGUAAAGGCUCACCAAGGCGACGAUCUGUAGCGGGUCUGAGAGGAUGAUCCGCCACACUGGAACUGAGACACGGUCCAGACUCCUACGGGAGGCAGCAGUGGGGAAUUUUGGACAAUGGGGGCGAACCCUCGAUCCAGCCAUGCCGCGUGAGUGAAGAAGG